GCAUAUUAUGUUUCAUACCUCCUAGAUUGGCAGUGAGAAGAAGUCUACUCCUCUAGACAGUAUCAGAGGGCCUCCCUCGUUCCUAUACCACCCACAGAGGUUGAGGAGAAAAGUGAAACCAUUCGAUGUCUAGAGGAUGACCUGCUGAGGGAGUUGGAGGAGAAGCUGCUCGAGAGGUCUCAAAUCAUGGACCUGGGUGUCGUGGCUGAGCUGGAGUGAGAAUUGGAACUGGCCAACAGCAAGGCAGAUGUGUGGCUUAGUGGUUAGAGCGAACCAGGGAGGAUUUGAUGUGUCUAUCAACACCUUGUGCUGAGACUACUUGCAUGCUGAACGAAAAAUUGUUAUGCUAAGGAACCUGCAGAUGGCUGACUCGCUCACUGUGGUAUAUCAGUUUGACCAACAAUUCCAAACAUAUUUCACAUUUCUCGUAUAAGCAGCAGGCUUAAACUAUCUUUUGUGAUAUGUCAGUGUUUGAUGUCCUUUGCAGUACUUCGUACUAACGGUUUCUUCAGCCUUCACACUGCUUUCCAUACAUUCAGUGGACAGUUAGUAGCUACAUGUAUAUCAUAUCUGCUGGUAUAUGCAAGCUAGUCCCAGCCCAUUCUCCACUUCAGAUCCUCACCAUAAUUUGUAUUCUGCUGUGCAGCUAGGAGAGACGUGUGAUGGAGGAAGAGCUCAAGAAGGCACUAUGUAGACAUAUUCGAGUGCUACAAACAACAGAGAGUUCUUCCUGCGAGUGGACCCCCCAGACAGAAAGCUGGAUAUCGACGAGUACUCUGACGUGACCCAGACCAUGCUCACCAAACUACAUCAGUCAGUGUCCAUGGAGAUAUGCUCCACCCACUCUGUUCAGGUUCGAAAAUGUUGUGUUUGAGAUCACAUCAGGCAGAUAGAGAAGGUGGAGCUGGUCCUCCAGGACCUCCUUCAGCUGCAAUACGAGGGCCUAGCAAUCAUGAAGAUGUUUCAGAGGGUCAAAUUGAACGUUAAUCUGCUCAUUUUCCUUAUGAACAAAAAUCGCUAAGCGUUAUAUUGUAUUUCCUGUAUUCAUGACAAUUUUAUGUACGUGCAGUGCAUGUCUCUCUGUGACACUGUUUAGAAAGCGAAACCAUCAUUAUUGCUGUGCUAUUGA